CUAGCGUUAAACUCAAAUUUUGGUUUCCCCCUCCCUCUCUUUGUAUCUUUCUUCUUCUACAUCUCCGAUUAGUAUGUAGAAGGUGAACACAGUACACCAGAGAAGCUAUCGAAACAAGGGAAGCUUGCUCUUGCAUCAUAUUCCCUUACCGGCUUCCCCCUUAUGCUUCUCUCUUUCAGGGGUCUCUCUUCUCUUCUCUCUCUCACGGGUCUCUCUUUUCUUCUCUCUCUGGCCAUCUAGCUCUAUUCUCUUCUCUCUCUGUCUGUCUCUCUUCUCUGUCCGGCUCUUUCUUCUCUUCUCUCUCGAUGUCUCUCUUCUCUUUAUCCUCUUUUUGUUUGUGAUUAGGAUUUGUUUUACAUACUAACCGUUCUUUUUGGCUUGCUUUGUAAGUGGAGUGUGUUGAUUCUCUGAAGCAGCUAAAGGAGAAUAAGAAUUUGAUUCGCAUCUUCAUUCUGCUUUUGCAGGAAUGAUAUUGAAGUAGAAGCACUAGUGAUGAAUUGAGAAGAAUACCAGCUAGCACUACCUUCCCUUCCCAAAUGGCCUGAAGGAUUGCUAAUAGCAUACAUGUGUAAGUGACACAAAUUGGGGGAGGAGCCCCUGCUGAAAUUUUACUCAGAACCAUUGAGUGUGUGACAUUUUAAUAUAUCAGUCCACACAGUUAACUAGUAAGUGAUAUUAUAAUUAAUUUAUACUUGUCAUUAUAUUAUUUUCCAAGUUCAAGUUAUAGGUAAGUAUGGUGUACUCUUAGUUCAUUUAAACAUGUUGAUAUCAGUGUCAACCAAAUGUAUUUCAAACCUCAUACAGAUUUUUGGUCUUGAUAUCUAGUAAGCUCUAUUCCUUGUGAACCUAUUCAUUUUGUAUUAAAUGUAUGUACGUGAAUAUUAUUCCUACUCAUAGAUCACAAGUGAAUUACUGGUGCUGCAACACUCUCUAUCAGAUUAGGUACAAGGGUGUUGGAAAGCAGUGUGGGCAAAUAAUUAUUGUCGUACCAUAUUGUAUAAUUGAU